rnacentral:lncRNA from 1 species
GGAAUUUCUCCUAUAUAUUCAUUAUGGGCUACCUUUAUCGGUCUCUACAUUGCCAACUAUGUAGUGGAAAGAUCAACAGGGUAAGUUGACAAUUUUCAGUGAGUGCUAUUUAGGUAGAUAAUAUGGCCUGUAUCUUGGGAUGUGAAUGGGUGGACUGCACUUCAUUGGGCAGCAGGUAGCUAUCUUGAUGUUUAUUAAGUUCUAUUGCAGUGUAUUGUUUAUUGUACUAGUGAUGUAUUUAGAAGUUUUUAUUGGAGAUGAUCCGACUUAUUCAACUUUCAUUUGAUGCUGAAUUGAACCUUUUUU